GGGUAUGUAGCUUAAAGGAUAAAGUAAUGGUUUCCGAAGCCAGAGACUGAGGGUUCAAUUCCCUCCUUACCUU
rnacentral:tRNA from 1 species